CCUGAUAUCAUUUAACUUUUUUUCAUUAUUAUUUCUUAUUUAAGAUUAACUCAGAAAUGAGUGAAAGAAUGAGAAAAUUCUUUAAAAAUAUCUUUGGACAAAAUAACCAGGAUAACAUCCAUAUCAACGAUGUUACACCUGAUCAGCCUAAAGAAAAAACUGGAAGAUUCAAAAAACUCCGAAAAAGAAUAUCAAGACUUUUUGGAUGUCGGAGGCCCUGCUGUAGCGAUAUUGCAGAGGAACCUGAACUUCCCUAUGAAGAGGCA